rnacentral:piRNA from 1 species
UGUGAACUACUGACCAGAUUUUAACCUGCC